UUGCCCCCAGCCGUGACCCCCGCCACCGGCCUCUACCGCGCCGCCAGCCUCCUGCGCCCGCCCCACGGCUCCCGCCACCCGCCCCACAGCUGCGGCGUCCUCCACCCCCCCACCGACACCCGGCUGGUCAAGGAGGUGGCAGCCUGCGACGCUUCCGCCACCAUCAUCCCACCAGAGGUCCAGAUCCUCUACAGCUCCUCCUGCAGCGCUGCGGCGGGUGACGAGUCGGUGGAGCUCCUCUGCCUCAUCUCCGGCUUCUCCCCGGCCACCGUGGAGGUCCAGUGGCUGGUGGACGGGGUCCCCGGGCUGGUGACGGCCACCCAAGGGCCACCACGGCGGGACGCGGGCAGCGGCACCUACUCGGCCACCAGCCAGACCAACGUCAGCCGCGCGGAGUGGUUGGAGGGGAGGACCUUCACCUGCCAGGUCAAACAUCCCGCCACGGGCACCACCGUGCAGGACCACGCGCGACACUGCUCCGGCCUGGAGCCCCCCAACCCCACCAACAUCGUCCUCUACGUCCUUCCCCCCAACGUGGCCGACCUCUACAUCACCCGCCAACCCAAGGUCUUCUGCUUGGCCACCAACCUGCCCAGCGACUCCGGCUUCCAGCUCUCCUGGGUCAAGGAGAAACCAGGUGUCCUCAGCCCGGACUUCUUGGACCUCCAAGAACAGUUCAACGGCACCUUCACGGCCACCAGCACCUUGAGUGUCUCCACCCAGGACUGGGAAGCUGGAGAACGUUUCACCUGCAUGGUCAAGCACGAGGACCUCCAGGUGCCCCUCAACAAGAGCAUCUCCAAGAGGGCGGGGUGAGUGUCCCCACCCCAAGUCUUUGUCUUCCCGCCCCACCCCGAGGAGAUGACCCACCCCGAGGUCACCCUCACCUGCCUGGUCCGUGGUUUCCAACCGGAGAACGUCCAGGUCCAAUGGUUGAAGAACCACGAAGGUGUCCCACCAGAGGACUACGUCACCACCCCACCCCUGAGGGACAACCUGCGGGACAGCACCUUCUUCGUCUACAGCAAGAUGAUGGUCCCCAAGGCCACCUGGUUGGGUGGGAGCACCUACAGCUGCAUGGUGGUCCACCAAGGCUUGCCGCUCAAGUUCACCCAACGCCAGGUCCAGAAGAACCCCGGUAAUUAACGAGGGGACGCGUCUCCACCCCACCCCACCGCUCUGCAGAUGACCUCCGUGGCCUCCUCUCCCACCCCCGUCACCUCCCAAGCUCCAAUAAAGCC